GAGCGUUCGCAAGGGGGUGGGGUCGGCCGCGCCCGGGCUCCAGCUGAUUGGGCCUGGGGAAAGUCACUCAGAGGAGUCAACUAAUUUUAUACAUUCCUCGCUGAGCGAGACUGGGGCUGGAAGUGGGUGUUGAUAGGAAAAAAAUGCUGCCUUUCUGCUAUCUCUAAGGAAAAGGAGAUAAUAGGAUGGGGGGAAACCUUGCGGGUCGUGUUGUCAACUUCUCUUGGCAUAUUUACUGUGUCCCAGAUCAGAAACGAAACAAACCCACCCGGGCCCCCUUUUUAAGGAAAAACAAUUGCCUCUGUGUCGCGGACAAGUGCGGGUCUGCCGGCGCGUGGAGCGAAAAAUGGCUAGCUUGAAGACACACGAAUAAAGGAAAACGCCAGCUCGCUCUUCUACCCUUUUAUCUUGGGACUGCUGAGUGUUCCCUUAGAGGAGGAAUUUAGAACUUCAAAAGCACUUGGAAAGAUUUGGAAGAGAAUCCCAAAAACGGCGACUCAGCAAUGAAUUGUUAACUGGUGGCAUUAUCAACCAUGUGGCUGCUUUUGCUUUUAGCGAUGAAAAUCACACCGAGUUUCCAGGCAAAUAAAAUUGGACCUCUGAAGUAAGAAAAUUUACUAUUUACCUUUCUAAAGACCUGAAGUCUGCUGUUUUCAUGCACAACUGAAAAGGGGGGGAAUCUCACAAUUGAGUUCAACGAGCCACAUGAGAAUAAUUACUGUUGAACAGAACCAAUUGCAGAGGCUGAGCUAUCAAUUAAGAAUUAACUAACAUUUAAGCUUGACAGAUAUCAUGCUGUAUAAUCCCCUUGGCUAACAGAGCAGAAUGAUUCUCAGGAGAUGGUCCUUUUAGUAAGCCUAGGAUCUGAUCUAAGGCAGGACUGAAUGGUUGAAAAGUGGCUCUAUUCUUAUGAGAUGUAGGUAGCCUAUGAUCCAUCAUCUUCUGGAAGGACAAUGAAUUCAUUAUUGGCUCUUUGAUGGUUUUUAUUGUCUGGUUUUUGUUGUUGUUUUUGAGGAAGAUUAGCCCUGAGCUAACAUCUGCCAUCAAUCCUCCUCUUUUUUUGCUGAGGAAGAUUAGCCCUUGGCUAACAUCUGUGCCCAUCUUCCUCUGUUUUGUAUGUGAGAUGCCUGCCACAGCAUGGCUUGAUAAGCAGUGCAUAGGUCCACGCCCAGCAUCUGAACUGGCAAACCGGGAACCACCAAAGCAGAAGGCAGUGAACCUAACCACUACGCCACCUGGCCCACCCCUAUUUGUCUGUUUUUUGAUUGAUGACAACAUGUCAUAACAUUUUACCCUUCUGCCCAAAACUGUCGAAGGAUGCAUAGAGCCCAACACUGUGUCUCAUUUAAUCCUCACAACCAUCCUGUAAAGCGAGUGUCAUUAGCCCCAUUUAACAUAAGGAAUCCAAGGCUCGGCAAGAUUGUGCUUCCAGCUGCAGCUCUCUACAGCCCGGUCCUGCUCGCCGUUGACUCCCUUCAAAACACUUGACCAUCUCUUCUUUGCCAAGGAACAAAACCCAAACUCUGUUGACUGGCGUCUAAAGGCCCUUAUAUCCUGACCCCCAACUUACCUUUCUGAACUUAUUGUCCACUCUGCUUAAUCCUUCCACAGUGCACAAAUGAAAUGACUUUGCACCCAUAUUCCCUAGAAGUGUUUCCUUAGUUGAGGAUGAUUUUUGCCCGUUUCUAAAAUCUACCUCACAGUGUUGUUGCAAGGAUCUGAUGAGAUGUCAUAUGCAAGAUGACAGAGCAUAUCGCCUG
rnacentral:lncRNA from 1 species